rnacentral:rRNA from 1 species
AAAGAAACCAACAGGGAUUGCCCCAGUAACGGCGAGUGAAGCGGCAACAGCUCAAAUUUGAAAUCUGGCCCCCCGGGUCCGAGUUGUAAUUUGUAGAGGAUGCUUUUGGUGAGGUGCCGCCCGAGUUCCCUGGAACGGGACGCCACAGAGGGUGAGAGCCCCGUCUGGCUGGCCACCGAGCCUCUGUAAAGCUCCUUCGACGAGUCGAGUAGUUUGGGAAUGCUGCUCAAAAUGGGAGGUAUAUGUCUUCUAAAGCUAAAUAUUGGCCAGAGACCGAUAGCGCACAAGUAGAGUGAUCGAAAGAUGAAAAGCACCUUGAAAAGAGGGUUAAAUAGUACGUGAAAUUGUUGAAAGGGAAGCGCUUGUGACCAGACUUGGGCGCGGCGGAUCAUCCGGGGUUCUCUCCGGUGCACUUCGCCGCGUUCAGGCCAGCAUCAGUUCGUCGCGGGGGAUAAAGGCUUCGGGAACGUGGCUCCUCCGGGAGUGUUAUAGCCCGUUGCAUAAUACCCUGCGGUGGACUGAGGACCGCGCAUCUGCAAGGAUGCUGGCGUAAUGGUCACCAGCGACCCGUCUUGAAACACGGACCAAGGAGUCGUCUUCGUAUGCGAGUGUUCGGGUGUCAAACCCCUACGCGUAAUGAAAGUGAACGCAGGUGAGAGCUUCGGCGCAUCAUCGACCGAUCCUGAUGUUCUCGGACGGAUUUGAGUAAGAGCAUACGGGGCCGGACCCGAAAGAAGGUGAACUAUGCCUGUAUAGGGUGAAGCCAGAGGAAACUCUGGUGGAGGCUCGCAGCGGUUCUGACGUGCAAAUCGAUCGUCAAAUAUGGGCAUGGGGGCGAAAGACUAAUCGAACCUUCUAGUAGCUGGUUUCCGCCGAAGUUUCCCUCAGGAUAGCAGUGUUGAGCUCAGUUUUAUGAGGUAAAGCGAAUGAUUAGGGACUCGGGGGCGCUAUAUUGCCUUCAUCCAUUCUCAAACUUUAAAUAUGUAAGAAGCCCUUGUUACUUAAUUGAACGUGGGCAUUCGAAUGUAUCAAC